rnacentral:ncRNA from 1 species
UAUGAAGCGUUGAAGAGGAAUAGUAAUUUCGUGUGUUAGGCCUAGAGAGCCGGUGAUUUAUGGUGCAAGCCGGACCUGCAGCGAAAUGAAGCUCGCCUUGGAGCUGUGCGAAGCAGCAAUCGGUGCAGUUGCCGAUUGUGAUCAGCACCGUCUGGCCUGCGAUAAAGGCGACAAGUGAGCGUUGGGCAAAGCAUGUCUGCCGCUAACUAGGGUGGUACCACGGGAGAACAACCUCUCGUCCCUAGC